CUUUCCUCUUCCAGCUGUAUCAACGCGAUGGAUGAGAAUUUGGCAUCUAAACCUGACCGCCCCGUCCGCGAGAGGGAAGAGGAGGAAAGCAAGGAAGUAGAGAAAAAGGGAGGCGAGGUCAUCACAUCCUCUGCUGAACGCAAAGAAAAUCACAAAAAAAAAAAAAAAGGGCAGAACUACUCCAGAGGAUGAGCUUGCUGUACGACCCGCUCGCUGGCAGAAAGAAGAAAGCCCGGUUUCGUGAAACAGACUAUAAACAAUGGUCGGCAGCAUUCCAAUGAAAAGGUACACCGUUCAAUUUACCAUCGGGUCAUCUGCUUGUGGCUGACCAUCAGAGAAAAUAAAAUAAAAUAA